UGAACCUAACUCCUGCGCUACAAGAGAGGUUGAUUAACUUUAUGGAUUCUAUGGAAAAAAGAGUUAGCAACCUCGAGAAAGCAAGGGACAAGAAGGCCAUCACCCGCGAAAGAGCGGGUGAAUCUGGGUCUUGCUAUCCUCCGUCUACGGAGAAAAAGAGGAAAUCUCCAGCACCUCCUAAGGAAAAAGCUGGACCUAGCAAGAGUCGCACUCACAGGACUCUUACAACAAAGUUCGUGGAAGAUCUUCGUCGG
rnacentral:lncRNA from 1 species